UACGGGGGGGCAAGCGUUGUUCGGAAUUACUGGGCGUAAAGGGCGCGUAGGCGGCCUACUAAGUCAGACGUGAAAUCCCUCGGCUCAACCGGGGAACUGCGUCUGAUACUGGUGGGCUUGAAUCCGGGAGAGGGAUGCGGAAUUCCAGGUGUAGCGGUGAAAUGCGUAGAUAUCUGGAGGAACACCGGUGGCGAAGGCGGCAUCCUGGACCGGUAUUGACGCUGAGGCGCGAAAGCCAGGGGAGCAAACGGG
rnacentral:rRNA from 1 species